rnacentral:misc_RNA from 1 species
UCCGGCUUGACGCCGGCAGUCCCCCGAGAGUCCUCAGCUUUACCUGUUAGUAACACGGGGCAAGGGUUGCGCUCGUUGCGGGACUUAACCCAACAUCUCACGACACGAGCUGACGACAGCCAUGCAGCACCUGUGCACGUGUCCCGAAGGAGGCCCUCUCUUUCAAGAGGGUUUCACGUGCAUGUCAAACCCAGGUAAGGUUCUUCGCGUUGCGUCGAAUUAAACCACAUGCUCCACCGCUUGUGCGGGCCCCCGUCAAUUCCUUUGAGUUUCAGCCUUGCGGCCGUACUCCCCAGGCGGGGUACUUCCUGCGUUAGCGCCGGCACCCAAGGGGUCACUCCCCCAGGCACCUAGUACCCAUCGUUUAUGGCGUGGACUAC